GCUUGGUUUUAGUGGUCCUGAUGUAUGAGCCUACUUUUCCCGGACGCUAGGUUGGAACCCGUGCUGGAUCUGAAGGCGUGCUGCUGUCGGCGUCUUCCAUGCCCCCAGUUGUGACCCUCCCUGACCCGGGUCGGAUCUGAAGGCCAUCUCCGAAGGAGGAGGUGGUGGACGACAACGUGAUCCCCUACUGCAGCAUCGAUGGCAAGAAGAAGAGGACCAUCGAGCAGCAGGAGUUCCUCAGAGCCCUAUAGUCCUACUAUGACCAUAAGGCCAUCAUGUCCAACGAGCAGUUCGACAACCUCAAAGAGGAGCUCAUGUGGGAAGGCAGCAACGUGGUCAUGAUAAGUACGAGCUCACAGAAUCACCCUGCUCAAACAGAAUUUACAACUAUUGUUUGAUUGAUUGUGUUGUCAUGCACCGUGGUCAUGCUAAGUACAAGCAGUUUAAGUUGUGAUUUCGCUUCCAAUUAACUCUGUUGUGAAUGUGUUAUAUACAAUUGAAUCUGGAAAAAAAUAUUCCUUCAAUUAUGUUCAUGUUUUGGUUUCCUAGAAUUGGUCCCUAAUUUGCUGCUGCUCCAAAUUUGCUUACAUGCUUGAUUAAAUUCCAUUUUUUCCAAUUAAGUUGCUUGCUUGAUGCGCCAAAAUUCAGUAGAAUUUUGAUUAUCAAUUGGUUUGGUUGGAUUCUCCCAAUUAACUGAAGUUGUUACAAAAUAGGUGGUUGUUGUCCAAUUGCUUCAGUAGAAUAAAAAUUGAUGGCUGACAUGUGUUGUUUGCUAUCUUUCGUCUCACCUUAUGAUGUCAAAGUUUAUCGUCUCUUGUCAAGGUUUUUGCUGUGGUAACUAUUAAUUUGGAAGAUACAGUGAAGGACAAUUACAUGUAUAUAUCCACACAACAAAUAUAUCGUGUUGUAUUAUGCUUAUGCUACUUGUAUCACCAGUGUUUUCUAACUCUAACACCUCUGUUUUUCUUUACUGUCUUGCCUAACCCUGUGUUCAUAUGUACAGUUUGCUCAAAAUUAAGUAUAAGUUAGGCCGCCAUGUUAAGAAUAACCUGAGAACACUUGCUCUCUCUGUAUGUCUUUAUUAAGGUCGGCUAACCUUAUAGAUGUUGUCCUUCUUUCAUCUACUGUACAAUGUCAUGCAUAUGUUUAUUCGGUUUGAACUUUGUAUAUGUUUAUUCAGUUUGAACUCUACAUGACAUGAAGUAAUUAUUUUCUGUGUUUUUCUCAACUUGUUUUCUUUGUCACUUGAUACAUACUUAGUUUGCACUUGAAGUUGUGGGCUAGUGAUGGUGAUUUUGUUCUACCUGAAUGCAUUGGUACCCCCGUCAUCGAGCGCACAGAUGCAACGGUGGCAAGAAGAUCAUGGCCGUGUGCAUCAUCAAGCACACCAUGGUGAUAAUUCACCUCCUCAUAGAUGCUAACUCAAUCUAGAUCAUCGCGAUGCUAUCAUCCUUUGGGCGACCGUGAAAGGCAUAUCACCGUUUUGUUAGCCCAGUCCUGACAGUAGCAGGUGCCUAGUUUGUGAUCGCUAUCGAAGGAGCUCCACGCUGAAGAACAUAGCUUGUAACUGUAUCUGGUUAUUACGCAUGUGGAGCUUGUAACUGUGAUUGCCAUACUUGCAGAGCUUGUAGCUAGUUAUUACACUUGUAGAGCUUCUGGCGAAUGUUUGGAGUAUUACAUGUAGAGCUUGUAAAGUAUAUGUUUGAGCUUAUUACGCACCAAUACUCCGAGAGAAGCAACUAGCUGCUGGACAUGGGCACGGCGGCCCGGACAAGCUCCGCUAGGUUUCACGUGCAUGCAAUAAUAUGGAUUUGAUGAUUUGCAAAUGGGAUAUCCAGUUGUGAAACCGAUUUUUUGAUGUGUUGUCAGAUCACUGUCCGUGGGCGUUUGAGG